GCCUGGCUGGCUCAGUCAGUAGAGCAUGAGACUCUUGACCUCAGGGUCGUGAGUUCAAGUCCCAUGUUGGGCG
rnacentral:tRNA from 1 species